rnacentral:rRNA from 1 species
UACGAAGGGUGCAAGCGUUACUCGGAAUUACUGGGCGUAAAGCGUGCGUAGGUGGUUUGUUAAGUCUGAUGUGAAAGCCCUGGGCUUAACCUGGGAAUUGCAGUCGAUACUACUCAGCUAGAGUAUGGGAGAGGGCAGUGGAAUUCCCGGUGUAGCGGUGAAAUGCGUAGAUAUCGGGAGGAACAUCAGUGGCGAAGGCGGCUGCCUGGCCCAAUACUGACACUCAGGUGCGACAGCGUGGGGAGCAAACAGG